CCCAACCACACAGAUACCUUUCUGAGGACACAACUCAACCCACAACAAGGAUAAAACAUGCAGGCCCCGGAGUGACCCAGCCCAAGAGGGCGGGAGAAAACUGCAGGGGGACGACACCCACCUUGUUCCCCGGUGUCUAGAAAAGGAUUCGCUCGGAGGAUGUACUCAAGAAAUAUUCUUUUGAUUAAAAAAAGGCCACACACCGCGAGAAGAGAGACUCCUGACAGUGACAUCUCAGAGCCUGUCCCUGCAGAGACGCAGACGACCCCCAAGCCCCCACCCCCAAAAACCCUUCACGCAACCAGUGUGUCAGGAGGACCGGGCUCCUGUCCCGCCACGGCUGCUGAGCAGAGGUGAAGCUUGGGUGAGGUGCCUCCCCUGCCCAGGCCUCAGUGGUCCUCCCUGGAAGGCGGAGACAGCAGUGUUCACUUCACAGAGCUAACAUGAGAAGGCCGUGUGGCCAGCCGUCCCGAAGCUAGAAUCGGGCACUUUGAUUCAGUCUGACAACCUGAGCCCUCUCCCAGGCCCAGGGGGUUUGGGAUGGGCAAGGCAGGCUACGCACUGCCUGCAGGAGGUAUGGACGGUCUGCUGGGGUGGAUUUCAGUGGGUGCUGGGGUCAGGUAAACCCCUUCCCAGGAGGUGGCACAUAAGGGGAGUAGACCGAUGAGGAGGAGUCAGUCAGACAAGGAACGGGAGGACAGUGCUCAGCAAAGGGAAUGGCAUCUUGGAGACUAGAGCUUAGGGCCUAUCCUAGAAGCGGUCUGGUAUGGUUGGAGCACAGAGAGCAAAGGGGAUGCCAGAACUGAGGCCAGAGGCCCCAUGGACUCCACCUGAAAUAUCGUUGUAUUG